UACGUAGGGACCAAGCGUUGUUCGGAUUUACUGGGCGGAAAGGGCGCGUAGGCGGCUUGACAAGUCACUUGUGAAAUCUCCGGGCUUAACUCGGAACGGCCAAGUGAAACUGUCAUGCUAGAGUGCAGAAGGGGCAAUCGGAAUUCUUGGUGUAGCGGUGAGAUGCGUAGAUAUCAAGAGGAACACCUGAGGUGAAGACGGGUUGCUGGGCUGACACUGACGCUGAGGCGCGAAAGCCAGGGGAGCAAACGGG
rnacentral:rRNA from 1 species